GGUGGCUCGGUGGUAGAGCACUUGCCUCGCAUGCAUGAGGUCCUGGGUUUGAUUCCUCAGCACCA
rnacentral:tRNA from 1 species